AGCAGCCGCCACGGUAAUACGGAGGGUGCAAGCGUUAAUCGGAAUUACUGGGCGUAAAGCGCACGCAGGCGGUCUGACAAGUCAGAUGUGAAAUCCCCGGGCUUAACCUGGGAACUGCAUUUGAAACUGUCAGGCUGGAGUCUUGUAGAGGGGGGUGGAAUUCCAGGUGUAGCGGUGAAAUGCGUAGAGAUCUGGAGGAAUACCGGUGGCGAAGGCGGCCCCCUGGACAAAGACUGACGCUCAGGUGCGAAAGCGUGGGGAGCAAACAGGAUUAGAUACCCCAGUAGUCCCUGUCUCUUAUAA
rnacentral:rRNA from 1 species